AGUGAACGCUGGCGGUAGGCCUAACACAUGCAAGUCGAACGGCAGCACAGUAAGAGCUUGCUCUUACGGGUGGCGAGUGGCGGACGGGUGAGGAAUACAUCGGAAUCUACUUUUUCGUGGGGGAUAACGUAGGGAAACUUACGCUAAUACCGCAUACGACCUACGGGUGAAAGCAGGGGAUCUUCGGACCUUGCGCGAUUGAAUGAGCCGAUGUCGGAUUAGCUAGUUGGCGGGGUAAAGGCCCACCAAGGCGACGAUCCGUAGCUGGUCUGAGAGGAUGAUCAGCCACACUGGAACUGGGACACGGUCCAGACUCCUAAGGGAGGCAGCAGUGGGGAAUAUUGGACAAUGGGCGCAAGCCUGAUCCAGCCAUACCGCGUGGGUGAAGAAGACCUUCGGGUUGUAAAGCCCUUUUGUUGGGAAAGAAAAGCAGCAGGUUAAUACCCCGCUGUUCUGACGGUACCCAAAGAAUAAGCACCGGCUAACUUCGUG
rnacentral:rRNA from 1 species